rnacentral:rRNA from 1 species
UACGGGGGGGGCAAGCGUUGUUCGGAAUUACUGGGCGUAAAGGGCUCGUAGGCGGCCAACUAAGUCAGACGUGAAAUCCCUCGGCUUAACCGGGGAACUGCAUCUGAUACUGGAUGGCUUGAGAUUGGGAGAGGGAUGCGGAAUUCCAGGUGUAGCGGUGAAAUGCGUAGAUAUCAAGUGGAACACCAGUGGCGAAGGCGAGUCCCUGGAAAAUACCUGACACUGAGGCACGAAAGCUAGGGGAGCAAACAGG